CGACAGCCCGGUUAAACCCCGCCCCCGGGCGCUGAGUGACAGGCGGCCGCCCCGGGAGCCGGUCACGUGAUGGAGUCGCUGAUGGACGUGGAGGUGUCUUCGUGCCGCCACUCCCGCUUCCUGCGCCCACUGCGGGCCCACUACACUCAGGUCCCUGCCUGUGGUUUGUUGGAGGAUGGAACCUGUCAUUAAACCCACUAAUGGAGUAAUCUCAGCUUUUGAUCUUUCAUCUCUAAUCACACCAAUUGUCUGAAUUCCUGUCAACUGCACCUGCCCCUCCAGAGUGGAUUCUGUCUCCUGUGUCACCAUUCCUUCUUUUUUUCACUCUUAUAAAUAUUCACUGCUCAAA